rfam:Clostridium difficile 630 complete genome
UUAAAUCCUAUGACAAGGAAGAGUAGUUAAAUUUAGGUUCAGUAUAGAGAGCUGAGGAUGGUGGAAUCUUAGCAAGAAAAAAUUUGAUGAAUGGCCCUUAGAGGAAUAAAUUGAAAUCAUAGUUUUGAGAGUAGACUUUAUCGUCAGUCGCACGUUAUAGCGAAUAAGGUAUGUAAGUACCUGAUAAUGAGAUGUAUGAAAAUUGAAUUUUAUAUUAAUUUUUAUAUAAUUUAGGUGGCAACGCGGAUAAUCUCCGUCCUAUUA